CGAGCACGCGCGUGUGGCAUAUCAAUAAGCGGAGGAAAAGAAACUAACUAGGAUUCCCUUAGUAACGGCGAGUGAAGCGGGAAGAGCUCAAAUUUGAAAUCUUCAAGGUUUGACCUUGACGAAUUGUAGCUUUAAAGAAGUGUUUUCUGUUAGAGGAGUUGGUAAAAGUUCUUUGGAAUAGGACAUCAUAGAGGGUGAGAAUCCCGUAUUUGGAUCCAUUCCUUCCUAGCGUUGUGAUACACUUUCAAAGAGUCGGAUUGUUUGGGAAUGCAGUCCAAAAUGGGUGGUAAAUUUCAUCUAAAGCUAAAUAUUGGCGAGAGACCGAUAGCGAACAAGUACCGUGAGGGAAAGAUGAAAAGAACUUUGAAAAGAGAGUUAAACAGUACGUGAAAUUGUCAAAAGGGAAGCGUUUGACACCAGUGUUGUUUUUCCGAAAAUCAAUUACGAAUGUUUUGUUUUUGAGGAAGCUAUGACUUCAUCGGCUUGCUCCUUUCUUUACGAAACUUUCUUAAUGCACUUUUCGGUUAACAAGUCAACAUCAAUUUCUUUUGUUGUAAAAGGGUAUGGGGAAGGUGGCUUUCUUUUCGGAGAAAGUGUUUAUAGCCUUGUGCCUCUACAAUCGGAGAGAUUGAGGUCUAGCAGCGUAGAUCCUUCGGGGUUAGAUACGUUUGUGCUAAGUUAUAGCUUUUCAUAGACAACUUGUUGACUAUGUUUAGUCUUGUAGCUUACUCGCUGACGCUAUUUUACCUACGCUUAGGAUGUUGAGUAGCGACAUACGCAC
rnacentral:rRNA from 1 species